CUAUGCACGUCAUACGAUCGCAAGCCCUUCGGGGUGGAUUAGUGGCGAACGGGUGAGUAACACGUGGGCAAUCUGCCCUGCACUCUGGGACAAGCCCUGGAAACGGGGUCUAAUACCGGAUAAUACUUCCGCUCUCCUGAGUGGUUGUUAAAAGCUCCGGCGGUGCAGGAUGAGCCCGCGGCCUAUCAGCUUGUUGGUGAGGUAAUGGCUCACCAAGGCGACGACGGGUAGCCGGCCUGAGAGGGCGACCGGCCACACUGGGACUGAGACACGGCCCAGACUCCUACGGGAGGCAGCAGUGGGGAAUAUUGCACAAUGGGCGAAAGCCUGAUGCAGCGACGCCGCGUGAGGGAUGACGGCCUUCGGGUUGUAAACCUCUUUCAGCAGGGAAGAAGCGAAAGUGACGGUACCUGCAGAAGAAGCGCCGGCUAACUACGUGCCAGCAGCCGCGGUAAUACGUAGGGCGCAAGCGUUGUCCGGAAUUAUUGGGCGUAAAGAGCUCGUAGGCGGCCUGUCACGUCGGUUGUGAAAGCCCGGGGCUUAACCCCGGGUCUGCAGUCGAUACGGGCAGGCUAGAGUGUGGUAGGGGAGAUCGGAAUUCCUGGUGUAGCGGUGAAAUGCGCAGAUAUCAGGAGGAACACCGGUGGCGAAGGCGGAUCUCUGGGCCAUUACUGACGCUGAGGAGCGAAAGCGUGGGGAGCGAACAGGAUUAGAUACCCUGGUAGUCCACGCCGUAAACGGUGGGAACUAGGUGUUGGCGACAUUCCACGUCGUCGGUGCCGCAGCUAACGCAUUAAGUUCCCCGCCUGGGGAGUACGGGCCGCAA
rnacentral:rRNA from 1 species